CCAGGAACUAUAUAUCUUACCUAUAGAGUACAAACUUGUCACUAUAUUGUUACAAAAUGUUAAAACCUCCAAGCAAACUAUUACUGAAUACAAUGAAGAAUUCAAGUUGGAAAUAGAAAGAAAGUAACUCGGAAGAACAGAAGUCACCCAACACAAUCGAGUUAAAGGCAAAUCAGAAGAGAUUUUGCAUCACCAUAAUUUACAGAAGAAAAAAUCAGACAAUGAGCGAAAAAUGCAUAAUUCUACCUUUUUGUUUGUUUGCAAAAGAGAAUCUUGAAGAGUAUUGAUUUGAGUGAACACAUAAUGAAUGUGGUGUUUUUCCAUAGAAAUAA